AUAAAUAUAACUUAAAAAAAGUAAAGAUUUGUGAUAUCUUUGAUACAACCUAAAAGUUGUUAUUUAUC
rnacentral:tRNA from 1 species